UGAGGAAUAUUGGUCAAUGGGCGGAAGUCUGAACCAGCCAAGUAGCGUGCAGGACGACGGCCCUAUGGGUUGUAAACUGCUUUUGUAUGGGGAUAAAGUCAAGGACGUGUCCCUGUUUGCAGGUACCAUAUGAAUAAGGACCGGCUAAUUCCGUGCCAGCAGCCGCGGUAAUACGGAAGGUUCGGGCGUUAUCCGGAUUUAUUGGGUUUAAAGGGAGCGUAGGCUGGAGAUUAAGUGUGUUGUGAAAAGUAGACGCUCAACGUCUGACUUGCAGCGCAUACUGGUUUCCUUGAGUACGCACAACGUUGGCGGAAUUCGUCGUGUAGCGGUGAAAUGCUUAGAUAUGACGAAGAACUCCGAUUGCGAAGGCAGCUGACGGGAGCGCAACUGACGCUGAAGCUCGAAGGUGCGGGUAUCGAACAGGAUUAGAUACCCUGGUAGUCCGCACAGUAAACGAUGGAUGCCCGCUGUUGGUACCUGGUAUCAGCGGCUAAGCGAAAGCAUUAAGCAUCCCACCUGGGGAGUACGCCGGCAACGGUG
rnacentral:rRNA from 1 species